AAUUAAAGGAAGCCUAGAAUUUUUUUUUUUCCGGGAAGAUCAACUACUUCAACGUGUCCUUCUAAAAAAAUCAACAACUUUAUUUUUUCUUCUUCUUCGACGGUGGUUCUGUAAUCGAUCAAAAUCACUUGAAUCGUUCCCUUCAAAUCCAUGAUCAAAUCGUUCAAAAAUCAUUCAAGUCAAUCGAUCUUGUGUUUUUAAGAUCUCUCACCUAGAGUUCUAGAUCUCCCAUCAUAAUGUUCGAUUUCAAGAUCUGCUUUAGUUCCGGGUCCACCAUCACCAAGCUUUAGACUCACAGAUAAGUUUUAUUUUUAAAUUAUAAAAAUUUAUUUUUGCUGUAUAAACAGGAUUUAGAAAUCCUAUUAUGUUAAUGAAUAAUUGAUUAUUGAUACGUUUUUGUACAGGUAACAAAAGUUUUUUCUUAAAAGGACAUAAGAAGAGUAGAAGGCAAACAUGAUAUAGCUUAUAAAAAAGUGAAGUGUUAUUGGUGAGGACUGGAGAAAAGAGAAACUACAAUUUACUAAUUGGAACAGUCCACGAACCAAUUUCAGAAAUAAAGGACAGUUUAUGUGUCUAACUUGAAGCGACAUAUGGUCAUAGAGUUAGCAAAAGGUAUUCCAACUACAACAUAUGCCAAGGAGGAAUUGGUGACAUUAGAGUUACUUAUGAUGGUCAGCUUGUACGCUGUAUGUAUAUAAAAGUUGUUCAGCAUAACGACCCCAAAGACAACAUGCUAUUUGGGAGGAAUUGGUGACAUUAGAGUUACUUAUGAUGGUCAGCUUGUACGCAUGACUGGUCGGUCGGUACUUUCCAGCAGCAGGAGUUACAGACACAUUCUCAAUGAACCUCCAUUGUCCCACCUGAAGUUUCUUAACACGAGCCAAGAAGAGUCUCUUGCAGGAGUUGUUAUAUUCGGUUAAGAUAUGGAACACAUAAGAAUGUAAUUGUUAAGCUGAUAAAUAUGGCGUUCGAAAUAUAAGGUUCGAAAUAUAUGGACGAAUAUCUUGGGAAAAGAAUAUCCAAUCUUUAGAGGAUAGAUGUGAGUACAUUUAUUCUUUUGGUUAGAAUAUUCUUUUAUACUUGAUUUUGAUAAUCAAAUAUAUUUAACGAUGGGAGACAGAUACAAAAUGUAAAUGAACGUAAGUCCUGAAUCAUAUAGUUGGCUUCAAUAGAUAAAAAAAAUCAUAUGUGAUGUAAUUAGAUAACAAUGAUGAAAUUUUACAAUUUCUAUGAUGUAAACUUAUAUUCAGAUAAUAUUAUGUUCAUAAUAAAAUUCUGUAUAACUGGGAAUG